UAAGCGAAUAGUGAAACCUGGUGGCUCAACCAUACAGACUAUUAUUCGAACUGGCAAACUCGAGAGUGGUAGAGGUCACUGGAAUUUCUUGUGUAGGAGUGAAAUCCGUAGAUAUAAGAAGGAACACCAAUGGCGUAGGCAGGUGACUAGACCAUUUCUGACGCUAAGGCACGAAAGCGUGGGGAGCGAACCGGAUUAGAUACCCGGGUAGUCCACGCCGUAAACGAUGGAUACUA
rnacentral:rRNA from 1 species